GUCGUAAAUAAUAGAAUCUUUAGAACCACAAAAAUUCCUAGUAGAUACUGGGAAAAAAAAAAAAAAAAAAAUUGCCCGUGUAGUAAUUGCUUUUUUUGUUUGGUGCAACGGUUUUUCAAAUUGUUUGGCGGGAAUAAAUCUGUUUUGGCAACAAUGUUAUGUGCAUAUGUUUCAGAAACACAAGUUCGAAUUUUGUGAUUUUGAAGUUAAGUAGCGAUUUGUAUAGGGCUAUCAAAUAAGAUAUUUUUUUCGGUCAUUUUCUUGUAUGCUUUACAUAUAUAUGAAGUAAUCAAGAGAGAAGUUACAGAUGUAGCAUAUAGAAGACUGUGCUGUCAAGCUUUGAGAAUAUCUGACAAAUAAACUGAUUAAAACUAGUGCUGGUCACUCAAGUGGCAAAAAUCCGUAACAGUGUUUAAACAUUGGAAAAAUUAUACUUUUCUUUUUUAAACUUUGCAUCGCAUAAUCCACUUAAAUACGAAUCUAAGUUGUACUGCAAAAUAUAUUUGUAUGUGGGGGUAAGUGCAAAGACAAGCAAUGUUUAUGAAGGAAGCUAAAAUUAUGAAAAAAACUUGUUGGCAGAAAUGAAUCCAAGAGCUGAAUAGUAGCUUGUGAUGCUCAGCGAGAGUAUAAAGACCUUAAUACAAACCUUCUGGUGAGUCAUUAAAAUCUGAAUCCUUUCCGAUUUUUUCUUUUUCCCUUCCCUUUUUUCUUUUCUCUUUCCUUUCCACCCCUUCGUCGAUGGGUAUUAUUUGGUAAUCAUAUUCAAAAUAGUAUCAAACAAAUUCUUAUUUUCAGUAGCUUGUUUCUGCUUCCACAUGAACUCUGUUAAAUUUCAAGAUAGGCGAUGCUAAACAGUACACAUUGCUAUUUAUUCCUCCAAUUUACUGACGCCCAUGUGGGUUUUCAGUUAAAGCCACACGACACAUUUCCGCUGCUAUAUUGGUGCAUCCUUACUUUUCCCUACGCCUUUCUUCUUAUUAUUAGAGGAAACAGAAGGAUCGGGAAUAGCAACAAGGAACAUGUUCUAAUUACACGACAAAAUCUUCCAAAAAACAACUGAGAGAUGAAAAUGUGGCCUACGUUAGUUUUGUAGUUAUUUUUGUUAUUAGAUGAAUAAUUUUUACCUACAUGAACAAUUUUGUCUUGUGUUUCGUUUGAAGUAAGCUUUGGCUCUCAAAAUUCAACUGGCUUUAACAAAACUAGUAAAUGAAUUGUACAGUAACAAAAAGAAUGAAUGACCUAACAAACUACGUUUGCGUUCAAACAACUUUUCCUUCCUUCCUGGCAUUUCGGCUUCGAAUCACAUUUCAGUUUCCUGAAAUGGUUAUUUGUAGAACCAGGAGGCAAGUGAGAAGAGGAAGGGGUGCCAAAUUAACUACAAAAAUUUUGAAAUUCAUUAAAAAAUAAAUUUUAAUUUUUAACUCUGAAAUGCACCAAUGAAUAUGAAGAAGAGUUUUGUGCUUAAAAUAGUCAAUCUGAUUUAAAAGAAGAAUCAAUAAUAUUCAUUUAAUCUCAGAAAAGAUGAGUUUCAGAGUAUGUAUCAGUAUGUAUGUAUAUUUUAUAGCAUUAAAAUUUAUUAAUGGAAGUAGCAUAUUGAAGUCAAUGUGCACUUCUUAUAACGAACUGCAUAGGCUAAACUUGCAUAAAAAUAUCAUACUCCUGAUUUUAGU